rnacentral:rRNA from 1 species
UACGUAGGGGGCAAGCGUUGUCCGGAUUUAUUGGGCGUAAAGAGCGUGUAGGCGGCUAGGUAGGUCCGUUGUGAAAACUAGAGGCUCAACCUCUAGACGUCGACCGAAACCACUUGGCUAGAGUCCGGAAGAGGAGAGUGGAAUUCCUGGUGUAGCGGUGAAAUGCGCAGAUAUCAGGAGGAACACCCGUGGCGAAAGCGGCUCUCUGGGACGGUACUGACGCUGAGACGCGAAAGCGUGGGGAGCAAACAGG